rnacentral:rRNA from 1 species
UACGAAGGGUGCAAGCGUUACUCGGAAUUACUGGGCGUAAAGCGUGCGUAGGUGGUUCGUUAAGUCUGAUGUGAAGCCCUGGGCUCAACCUGGGAAUGGCAUUGGAUACUGGCGAUCUAGAGUGCGGUAGAGGGCAGUGGAAUUCCACGUGUAGCGGUGAAAUGCGUAGAGAUGUGGAGGAACACCAGUGGCGAAAGCGGCGUUCCUGGAC